GACGAACGCUGGCGGCGUGCUUAACACAUGCAAGUCGAACGAAAAGGCCCUGCUUUUGUGGGAUGCUCGAGUGGCGAACGGGUGUGUAACACGCGAGUAACAUGCCCCUUUCUGUGGGAUAACUCCUGGAGACUCGAGCUCUUACCCGAUAUGACCUCCUUCUACAUAGUGGGGGAGGGAAAGUGACGGCGGUUCGGCAUGGACUGGCGGCUUAUCAUCUUUUUGGUGGGGUAGUGGCUUACCGAGGCUUUGACGGGUAGCCGGACUGAGAGGGUGACCGGCCACAUUGGGACUGAGAUACGGCCAGGACGCCUACGGGAGGCAGCAGUGGGGAAUAUAGCACACUGGGCGGCAGCCUGAUGCAGCAACGCCGCGUGGUGGAUGACUGCCUGCGGGUUGUAACCCGGGUUCGCCUGUGACGCAGAGCGAGUGACGGUAAUGGGUAAAGAAGCACCGGCUAACUACGUG
rnacentral:rRNA from 1 species